CUUGGCUGACCUUCUGCCAUCGCUCACAUUCAAGAUUAUCACCUAACAAACAAUGCCAUAUCUUUUGAUAUGGAACCAGACAAAGAAUUGUGACAUGGAAGGAUUAAAGUUAUAAGAAAAUGAUCCAUCAAGUUGUGGGAGGAUUCACAUUAAUUUCAUUGGAAUGUGAUGUCACAUGGAAUUGGCUUUGGAUCAAAGGAAACAAAUAUACAAAGUGGUCGGUCCAUUUUUUAUG